CCCUUAGAUGUCCUGGGCCGCACGCGCGCUACACUGAUGCAUUCAACAAGCCUAGCCUUGACCGAGAGGUCCGGGUAAUCUUUGAAACUGCAUCGUGAUGGGGCUAGAUUAUUGCAAUUAUUAAUCUUCAACGAGGAAUGCCUAGUAAGCGUGAUUCAUCAAAUCGCGUUGAUUACGUCCCUGCCCUUUGUACACACCGCCCGUCGCUCCUACCGAUUGAAUGUGUUGGUGAGGAGCUCGGAUUGGCAGCAGUUGGUGGUUCGCCACCGGCUAUUGCUGAGUAGUCCUCCAAACCGCCCCAUUUAGAGGAAGGAGAAGUCGUAACA
rnacentral:rRNA from 1 species